rnacentral:rRNA from 1 species
GUUUUUUAGAAUUUAAUUAAAAGUUUAACCUGCCCAUUGAUUUUUUUUUUAAAGGCUGCGGUAUUUUGACCGUACAAAGGUAGCAUAAUCAUUAGUUUUUUAAUUGAGAACUAGAAUGAAUGGUUGGAUGAGAUAUUAACUGUUUUAAUUAAAAUUUUAGAAUUUUACUUUUUAAUUAAAAGGUUAAAAUAAAUUUAAAAGACGAGAAGACCCUAUAGAGUUUAAUAUUUAUUUAUUUUUAAUUUAUUUAGUUUAAUUUUUAUUAAAUUUAAUUAAAUAUUUUGUUGGGGUGACAAUAAAAUUUUAUAAACUUUUAUUUAUAAGGCCCAUUAAUAUAUGAAUUUUUGAUCCAUUAUUAAUGAUUAUAAGUUUAAAUUACCUUAGGGAUAACAGCGUAAUUUUUUUUUUAAGUUCUUAUUAAUAAAAAAGAUUGCGACCUCGAUGUUGGAUUAAGAUUAAUUUUAGGKGCAGAAGUUUAAAAUUUAAGUCUGUUCGACUUUUAAAUUCUU